AGGUGGAAGAAGAAGAGGAGGAGGAGGAGGAGAACAGGAGGAGGAGGAGGAGGAGGGUGUGCGUUAUUGAAGGGGAGCGAAAAAGCCUCCUCGGGACGGCGCGGAGGCUGAACCCGGCUCGCGGAGCCUCCUCUCUCGGCUGGGCCCAGUGCCCCGAGCAGCCGGUGAGAUCGAGACCCCCCUCCCCCUCCGGCUAGCAGGUAUUAGAGAAGCAUGGAGUGGCCAGAAAAAUGCCCACAGCUCAAAUAUGGAGAAGUCUUAUUGACAGCAGCUUGGAAACAUUUUGGGACGUAUUGCAACAACUCCCACCCCCCAGCAGUGACUUAAGCUGCAAAAUUACUAAAAGAAAUUGUAAUGGAAAACCAUGAGGAGAUAUCAGGCAUUGAAAUAAAGAAGAACUGCUGUUAUCUAAAACUUUUUGUUAGUUGAUUUGAUAAUGUGUGCUUCUUGUAAAACCAAGCUAAUAUAAUUCCAUGCGCUACUUUU